UGCCCUCUCAAACUCUCAAAAUUACUUGCCACCCUUAGUCCCUUACUUCCUUUGUUGUGUUCCUCUAAGCCAUCCAUGGAUCCAUCUUCAUACUCCUCCCUAACCUAGAUAAUCCCCCUUCCCUUUCUCUCUCCCCUUCUCUCCUCUUCCUUUUCGAUCAGCGUCUUCUGCCGGAUUCAGAAUUGCGCUACAAAAUCGCCAAUUGCAUUCACAUAAUAAAAACCUAAUUUAAUCUCCGCUUGAUGAAACUCCGCUUAAUGGAGAUUCAAGUAAUUCUGAUUCUUCUACAGAAACUGUUGAAGAAGCAAAUGAAGAUUCAAAAGCCCUUUUGAAACUCUUCUACUCUUUUGAUUCCCUUGAGUCUCAGCUCGCUUUGCAGGCUAUUGGUGAUGCAUUGCGUGGAUUGUUAUUGGUGUUCAAAUUGUAGGCAAUUAUUACAUGGGCAAAGAAUUUGAGGGGGAAAAGUGUAAGAUUAGCAAGGAAAGAAAAAGUUGGUAGAAGAUGGGAUCGAAAUCCAUCGAUGGUGCUAUGAGAGCAAGCUGACUGUCCUAUUGUCAAGUAAUCAUGUAGUAGUUUCUUUUUUCUUUUUGUUCAAUAUUCUAUUUUUGUUAUCUAUUUGGGGAAAUGUUAGAAUAUAAUGUUGGUGGAAGAUUGGCGCAUUGUAGUCGUUUUGUUAUCGCAGUGUAUUAGUAUUAUGUUAAUAUCGAUAACCAUGUAAUAUUCAAAUAGAUAGGAAUAUAAUGUUGAUUAUACCUUUA